rnacentral:lncRNA from 1 species
AUAUCGAAAAAUAUUUUGGAUCAAAUAGAAGCCACAAAAAAUCUCGAAAAAAAUCAGAAAAAAUAGCAAACAAACUCUCGAGGAGGCUAAACGAAUGGAAUAUGAAGAAGAAAGAAUAAAAAAAUGACAAGAAGUUUUGGAACUAACCUAGGUUGGCCCGAGGAGUGCAGAAAGACGGCAAGGACGAUGGAAGUCGAUCCGGAGGACGUCUAAGGCCGAGAAGGAUGCUAAAGGAAGCUGGAGCUCUCGGGCAAGAGGAGGGGACCGAGGGAUUCUCUCAGGCAAAGUGAAACCCCUAAAGGAGGAGGACGUGUUUAAAUAGAUCUCGGGGUCCGAUGCAAUAAUGAUUGCGGAUCUUCUCUGGCCGACCUACACUCGCCGCGUGUCCCACUCACCAUAGCAGGUGGCUGAAAAUGACUGACAACUGACAAAAUCAUUAUUGCACUGUACCUAGAGCCACGCCCC